ACAUCAGGAUGGUCUCACCUGUGGAGCCGGGACUUGGAGCUGCAGCUGCUCGAUGCAGAUGUCUUUCUGACAUGGAAGCAAAAGGAAGCUGCAAGAGCCAUCAUGUGCCCCUCCCCAGCAGCGUGGGCAUAUCGUUUCAGGCACCUGGAGCAUCUCGCAGAGAGUGGUGCAAAGCAGCCCUUAACCAGCUAUCUAAGGAGUCCCUCUACUUAGGAGGACUGACAAGUGGCAUGGUUCAUCAGCAGCAUCUACUCUCCCCUCCUUCUCCAGCUGACAGAAUAGAAUUUACGGGCCACAGGCAGCUGGUAUAAAGCAACAGAGCCCUGAGAAUGGGGAGGCUAGGAUCCAGCCCAAUGCAUGAAGUGAAGUUGAGGGGUUAAUAUGUUUCUCCAAGAUGGAAUUUCUGUUUAUUCAGCAGUUUUUAAACAAUUAAGAAUUUACAUCCCAAAAUUAAAACAAUGUCAAUGAAAAGUCAAGCACUGAAAAGUUUAAUUUGACAUUUCCCAGUAAUUUCCUAAAGUUGUCUGUACAAUCUUAAUUUAUCCCUUGUUGUGCAUAUGCAUUCUGAUAGUCUUUAAUUACA